AGAACUGUGCGGCAGAGAUCGAUCCUAGCCACCGAUCUUCUCGCUUCGCGAGUUCGCCGUGCGCCGGGUGUGCCCAGAGCCCCAGACCGGCCGCGCCGCCGCCCUGCUCAAGCCGCCGCCGGUCUCCUUGAUCUCGCUGAACAUCCGACGCAGCCGCCCUUCUCGCCUCGCUCUGGUCCUUGAGGUGUUUCACCGCUCGUUGAGGAGUCGUCUCUCGCCUGGUCUCGGCCGAGGAAGGCGCCGGCGGGAAAGGGGCGAGGGGAGAGAGCGAGAUGCCGCACCGAGCGCGGCCGAUGACGGGGCUGCUCGUCUUCAUGGGCGUCAACCUCGUGCUCGUCAACACCAUCUCCCCCGUCUAUGACUUCGUCUGCCUCCACCCCUACUGGGAACGAAGGAGAGAACGUCGCCAAAGGGAACGUGAAGCUCUGCAAGUGAAGGGUUCUCUAGAAACCACUAGCUGAAUUCUCCUUGAGUCGGCAUCUGAGAUGACCUCCUUGAUUUUCUCAGCGUCAUACAACCCUUGCUCCUUCAAGGCUUGCUCAAGCUCUUCUUUUGUAAUGUACCUGCAAGACAAAUGAAGUAUAUGUGUUCUAUAAUAUCUGUAGUCCUGAAGUCAGGUGUCUCAGCUGUGUUGGUUUCAACGUUUAACCCACCCACUGUUAUCCUUGUCGAAAUACUGGAAUGCUGUGUAAAGGUGCUCCUCUCUAUCCAGUUUGUUCAUGUGUACUGUUGCGGUGACGAACUCGUCAUAGUCAAUUAACCCGUUGCCAUCAGCAUCAGCCUGGAAUUAUAUAAAAGGAAUCAAAAGGGGAUCUUUCCAUA